GGGCGCGUAGCUCAGCGGCGAGAGCAACCGCCUUACACGCGGUAGGUCCUCGGUUCGAAUCCGAGCGCGCCCA
rnacentral:tRNA from 1 species